UUGUUGAGAGUGGAUUAGUGCCCUGGUGAGUUUAUAAGUUUGGGAUGGUCUCCUUCCGAGAUGAGAGGCCAAAGGGGUCUGAACGGUGUGUUGGUUCGGGGAGUCAAAAGGGUUUUUGGAACUUGCACCUGGGGAAUUAAUUAUGUAUAUUUGGAGAGUACCAACAAAAGCUAAUUAGUCAUGAUAUAUACGUAGUUUGGCUGUAGAGGAUAAGGAAGGGUGACGUGCUACUUGCCCUGGAUUAGGUGCAGGUGAUGUUAGAUUCUUGAUUAUUAUUAUUACUAAUGACGGAGAUGGUGUUGAACUGGUUAUUAGUGAGGUGACAACACUUGGGAUAAUUAUGAGAACCGGAGCUAGCCUGACUCAAACCGGAAUGGAACCAAAAUCGAAUUGGUCCAAUGAUUUGUCUAAUUUCAAACUGAACAGGAGUUUCGGUUUUUAUAUCUGUGAAAGCUGAAAUCAAUUAUUUCAGUUUGAAUAAUCGGUUUUGUGAUUUUAAAAUUAUUUUAGGGUGAAUUCUUAAAUAAAAAUGUUAUGUUUCAUAAUUUCUUAUAGAGCGGUUUAGGUCUCGUGAAAUGACACGAUUAGCAUGGUCAACUCGCUUACGGAGAUGCCCGCUUCCAUGGUGGUGCCCAAAAGCGUACAUGUUGCUUUGGGACAGUAAUAAAGGCCAUUGCUUUGUUUUCUCAGUACUAAUGUCAUUAUUCUACACCUUGUACUUUCUCGGUGUGAUUUCGUUGCAUGAAGCCAUUUCGAGUGGCCCCAAAGGAGGUCACGGGAGAUUGGGUGAGCCACAUAUCUGACUCGGAUCACACGACAUUGUCUAUUGCAGUGGAGGGACAUGGGAUUGGGUACAAUGUAUUCAUUCGGACUGUCAUCCACAGGACAUCCUUUUAAGCAGCCGCAAGCGUUGGGAAGGAAGAGAAGAACGAAAUCAAGAGAGUAAUAUAGAUAUAAAUAAUCAAAAUCAAAUUAAAGAAUACACCCAAAAAAAAAUGCUGAAAAUUUAAUGUGGUUUGAUAAUUUUUUUUUUGGUCUAUUUUUUAUAUAAAAAAUUAAGUUUUUCGUUAAGAAAUUAUUUUAUUUUAAGUUGACACAAACGUAAAUACGGAGAAAUUUUCUCUUUUGAAGUACUUACUGCAAUGAGAGAACCAAAUCCCCCACCUGCCUAUGCUGACAACGCAUGUAGCGAUCCUCCAUAAAUCGUUGCACUCUUCAUCGAUGAUAUCUAACAUUAUGGAGAUGGGAUACUCUGUUCUUGGCUCAGCUAGCCUUGUCUUCUCUUGUUUGGGGGGUAACAACGAUGUGCGUCCCAAACCUUCUCUCCGAAGAUUUCCCUUCCAUGUCGGCCCUCUCCACUGCGACAUCGUGCCAAAUGGAUCACCACCACGCCACACCGUAGUCCCUCCUCUCUGUUCUUCCUGUCCUGUCGCGUUUGCUCUUCUGCAUCAGAGCUCCGAACUCACAUGCUGUUUUAGCGUAACAGUGUCCUGCGCAUUGCUUUGUUGUUGCCUUCUCCGUGUUCCUCUUCACGCACCAUCGUCCUCCACACGCUCCCGCCUUCAUCAUUGAGACAUUGCCCCCUCCCCCUCCUUUUAUCCUCCCCGCUCCACCCCCUCCGCCCUUCCUCCAGCACACCCAGCAGCAAAGAUGAAGCUUCUGGGUUGGAUGCACCGCAGGUUCCGCUCCACCAGCGGCGAUGUGUUCAAGGACUUGGGAGACGGCGGCACCUGUAACUGCCUCGCCGGGCAACCGUCGCUGGACGAGGACCCCCACCGAAGCCGCCGCCAAUACGAACCCUUUAAGGUAAAAAGCCUCCGCCUCGAUGCGGAAGUGCUCUUUGACGGCGAUGGUGGAGGUGGCGGGGGAGAUCCGGCGAUGGAGGUGCUCUUCGGGGGGCUCCUCACCGUCGGAACCCUGGGGACUGGGUCCUGGCCAAUCGAAGAGAAGGGAGCAGAGGCUGACGCCAAGGCGAACGGGGAGGUGGACGAGAAGAAGCCCUUGGUGUUGGCGGUGGAGGAGCUGGUCACGCCGGCGGCGCUAGAAGCGAUCGCGGAGAAGGAGGCGGAGGCGACGGAGAGGGACCUGAUGGUGGUGGGAGCGGAGCUGGAGAAGGUGCUGGCAACGGAGGCGGAGAAGGGCGGAGGCGGCGGCGGGAUGUCCUCCGCCCGCUCCAGCCAUUCCGGGGCAGCGGCGUGCCCGCUUGAAGGUUUCCCGUUCGGGUCGCCGAUCGAGACAGCGUCCGCGGUGGCAGGUGCGCGGAAGGAGCGGCGGGCCUCGCUGGGGGAGCUGAUCAUGAUGAGCCGGAUCGCGGAGGGCGGCGGCCGAAAGGCGGAGGAAGCCGAGUUCGCCGGGGUAGACAGCGGGGGCCAUGCGGAGGGGAAGCCGACGGCUGAGAUGUGCUUGAUGAGAACCACGAUGGCAAAGCAUCGCAAAGGAUCGGACGGUGGUGGUGGCUCAACUCAUGCUUCAACGGUGGAGACGAAGAUCCAAAAGAUCCUUCAAAUUUUCCACAGAAAAGUUCACCCUGAGAGCAGUAUCAUGACUAAGAAAGCUUCAAAGACUGGCAAGAUCGAGAAGAAAGAUCACACGGCUCUAGUUGGAGGCAAUGAUCUCAGUGGUACGGGAGGUAGCACACUGGCCACUUUGAAAGGUGAAUGCAGAAAAGAAGACAUUCUAAACAUCAGUUUCUGCACCGAUCCUCCAUCCAAUGCUUUUAGUGGCUGUGAUUCAAAUAUCAAUCGGGAACACUGGAUUAAGACUGACGCAGACUGAUUCCAAGGAAAAAAAACGUCCCAACACAGUUGAUAUGGUAUCUGAUUUAGGAUGCCAAAGGAUGACAGAUAGCUCUUGGAUAUAGAGAGAGAGGUUCAUAUGUUGAAUACUUAUAGCACUUCUCUUGUCUCCAGCAUUUCUCCAAAAUCUGUUAUUCCAGUGGAGAUACACAUACACAUUUGGUGCUGGAGCUGUAGAAGGGAAGGAGCCAGUCAAACUUCCUGAAUCCACACAAGUCAUGGAAGUAAAUUGAACCUUUAUAACGAGAAGUCGAAUCGAAGAAUAAGUUUACAGUGUGGACGUAAAUAAAUAUAUUCUGAAUCAGUUACCAGUGUGGAAGCUGCUGCCUUUCUGGUGGACAUUUAUAAUGUUCUUCUUUUGUACCUUAUGUACGUGGGAAUAAAUAUAUUAUUAUUACCA